AAUCGGAACAGAGAUAGGUGCUGGGAGGACUUCCACCCAAGCUGCAGCGUCGUAGUGACACCAGAGCUGGUUACUCACGCUCAAGCAAGAGGCGGAAGAAACUCAGGAGAGACCGAAGCAGAGAGCACCCGGCACCCACGGUUAGCGCAGGACCCCCGCGGCCCCUCCUCGGCAGGGGAGCGCUGCUCCAUCCCCCGUAUAGGAAAACCAGCCGGCGCUUCCCCGCCGCACCCACCUUCCACCGAGCGGCCGAUGCUGUGCAGGUGGGUGAGGGCCGGGUAGGCGGCGUGCACCUCCUUCAGGUACGCCUCCAGCUCCUCGCUGUGGUGGUACUUGUAGUCCAGCGCGGCCACCAGAGAGACCAGGCAGAGGACGCCCACCGCCUCCUAGAAAGAAGCAGACGAACCAAAAACCCGUAACCCCGCUGAGGGAAGGCGGUCGGAGGGCUUGUCGCUGCCCGGCUCUGCCACAGCCCGCCCGCCCGCCGCCCCUCUGAGGAGCAGGUGGCUCUCCCCAGCGCUCCUACCCCAGCGCCCGUCCGCAUGCUGCCACCGCUCCUCACAACUGCAGCCCCAGCGCCGGGCGGGGGCCGCCAUCCCCGCCGCCCGGCCUCGCCCUGCCCCUGACUGACGCCGGCUCCAUCCACUCAGGUCCCCCCGGCCCGCCCAGGGGCCGAGGGAGGACGGGAGGAGGGGAGGGGGGAGCUCCUUUACCCGCCCCGCCGGCGGCUCUCACCUGAGCGGCGGGCCGUUCCUGUCAGCGCGGGGGUGGUAUGGCCUCCCCGUGUUCUUCAGAGUGAAGCUGCCGCCUCCCUCCUCUUCCUCCCCUUCCAUGACCCUCCACGGUUGAAAAGGGCUGAGAGAACAAAUGAAGUCGAGUUCCUGCAUCAAAAGAUGGGAUGGCAUCAAGAUUCCUUUCAAAAUACGAUGUAGCUAUAGCUGUGUGCUGGAAUACAAGUGUUCAUAUGUUCUGGAGAACUUUGGUGAGCAAGUCAAAGGGCAGUUUUCUUUACGACUCACAGCAGGAUGCCCUCUGCCGCCUUCUGAUUUUAGAAAAGCAAAUCAGUGUAUGAGCCAGUCCAAAAUAACAGAUCCUGUAUUCUGGAUAGAAGGCUCUGAUAAAUAAAAAGUUUGUUCUUCUUCUAA